UCUGGAGUCAGAAGAUAAAGGCUUGUAUUUCUGUGCUGUGAGUCAACACAGUGAUACAGACACAUUCAACAGCUGAAAUAAAACUCCAGUAAACUGUCAGCACCACCGUUUUUAAAACCACUUACCUAAUGGACUGUAGGAGGACCCCAAGUACCACAUACACUCCCAGUUACACUUGGAUCGCACGCCACAUAAUAUGCGACACUCCCACCUGCAAUUCUUCAUAUCUUUCUGUAACUGCACUGACAGUUUUGUGUUUCACUCUUAACUUUUCUAAACAUGGACAUCAUCAAACAUGGUCUCACCAGCUUGUUACUGUUUCUGUCCUGGAUGAAAGGUUUUACUGAUGGCAGUGAUGUCACCCAGACGGACAUACUGUGGGGGAAACAGGGAGAAGAUGCAACAAUGAGCUGCAGCCACACGAAGGGUGCUACCUAUAUCUACAUGUACUGGUACAGACAGCUGCCAGGAGAAACAAUGAAACAGAUCGUGUUCACAAGAAGUGGCAUUGAAGACCAUGAUUUUGGGAAAUUUAGCAAAGAAAAAUUUGCAGCCACCAAGCCUGAUGUUGAGAGUGGGACAUUCACAGUGAAGAAUCUGGAGCCAAAAGAUAAAGGCUUGUAUUUCUGUGCUGUGAGCAAACACAGUGAUACAGACACAUUCAACAGCUGAACAAAAACCUCAGUGCACUGUUGGCACAUUUAUCAGUGAGUCUGUUUAUCUGCUGUGCUGUAGGGGGACCUCGAGUACCACAAAUUCUCCUAUUACAGUUUGAUCACAUGUCACACAUUAUACGA